GGCCCUCAAUCCCUCUGUUACUGUGUCACUAUACCCCACUCCCUCUAACAUGUAAACUCACUGAGCAGGGCCCUCAAUCCCUCUGUUACUGUGUCACUAUACCCCACUCCCUCUAACAUGUAAACUCACUGAGCAGGGCCCUCAAUCCCUCUGUUACUGUGCCACUAUACCCCACUCGCUCUAACAUGUAAACUCACUGAGCAGGCCCUCAAUCCCACUCCCUCUAACAUGUAAACUCACUGAGC